UGCAUAUCAAUAAGCGGAGGAAAAGAAACCAACAGGGAUUGCCUUAGUAACGGCGAGUGAAGCGGCAAAAGCUCAAAUUUGAAAUCUGGCACCUUCGGUGUCCGAGUUGUAAUUUGAAGAAGGUAACUUUGGAGUUGGCUCUUGUCUAUGUUCCUUGGAACAGGACGUCACAGAGGGUGAGAAUCCCGUGCGAUGAGAUGCCCAAUUCUAUGUAAAGUGCUUUCGAAGAGUCGAGUUGUUUGGGAAUGCAGCUCUAAGUGGGUGGUAAAUUCCAUCUAAAGCUAAAUAUUGGCGAGAGACCGAUAGCGAACAAGUACAGUGAUGGAAAGAUGAAAAGAACUUUGAAAAGAGAGUGAAAAAGUACGUGAAAUUGUUGAAAGGGAAGGGCUUGAGAUCAGACUUGGUAUUUUGCGAUCCUUUCCUUCUUGGUUGGGUUCCUCGCAGCUUACUGGGCCAGCAUCGGUUUGGAUGGUAGGAUAAUGACUAAGGAAUGUGGCUCUACUUCGGUGGAGUGUUAUAGCCUUGGUUGAUACUGCCUGUCUAGACCGAGGACUGCGUCUUUUGACUAGGAUGUUGGCAUAAUGAUCUUAAGCCACCCGUCUUGAAACACG
rnacentral:rRNA from 1 species